rnacentral:rRNA from 1 species
UACAGAGGUCUCAAGCGUUGUUCGGAUUCAUUGGGCGUAAAGGGUGCGUAGGCGGCGCGGUAAGUCGGGUGUGAAAUCUCGGAGCUUAACUCCGAAACUGCAUUCGAUACUGCCGUGCUUGAGGACUGGAGAGGAGACUGGAAUUUACGGUGUAGCGGUGAAAUGCGUAGAUAUCGUAAGGAAGACCAGUGGCGAAGGCGGGUCUCUGGACAGUUCCUGACGCUGAGACGCGAAAGCGUGGGAGCAAACAGG